AUGGAACAAUGUAGGCAAGGGAAGUCGGCAAAACGGAUCCGUAACUUCGGGAAAAGGAUUGGCUCUGAGGACUGGGCUCGGGGGUCCCGGCCCCGAACCCGUCGGCUAUCGGCGGAUUGCUCGAGCUGCUCACGCGGCGAGAGCGGGUCGCCGCGUGCCGGCCGGGGGACGGACCGGGAAUCGCCCCUUCGGGGGCUUUCCCCGAGCAUGAAACAGUCGACUCAGAACUGGUACGGACAAGGGGAAUCCGACUGUUUAAUUAAAACAAAGCAUUGCGAUGGUCCUCGCGGAUGCUGA
rnacentral:rRNA from 1 species